AGAGUUAUUACCAAACUUGCAGAUGGAGGUAGGAGGAACAGAGGGUUUGUUGAUGGAUGGACUCAGGAUUUACAACUAUCUUUAUAGGUUCAGGCCUAUAAAGAGGCCUCAUCAACUGGAGAAGAGUCUACCAGACUACAGUUCAGAGAUGCUUCCUUAUGAGUCACUUAAGUGCCUGUGUGAUUUCACUGUAGACUGAGGAGGCUGGUCCCAUCACCAGCGCCCUUGACCUCCACAGCUCUACUUACCAGCCGAGGCUACCACCACACAGAGUGUACUGCAGUUUCAGGCUUGGAGAGGAAGGGAGGAAGCCUAACCCUCGGGAGACCCCGUCAUGUUUUGAUGUCAUUGCAUGUCCCAUUUGGCCAGCCCGGAAAAAAUAAAAUGAGGAAGAAUGGCCCACAAACAACCUGGACAGAUAGAAGGCUGCUUUUAAAGAAGCUCACAGACACAGCUGAUUGAUUCUGCGACCUUGCUUUGUUACUCAUCUCUGAGUUUAGAGGCUUCACUGCCAGGGACCUUGUCCAGAGUUUCUGAGACCUCCAACAGCCUGUGGUCUCCUGGUCACUCAGACCCUACUGGUGGCUUCAGAUGCUGGAUCUUGCUGAUGUUUGAAUUAGCUCUCUGUGAAGGGCAUGCUGGUGAGGCCACAUACCAGGAAACCAUGACAAACAACAGAAUUACAGUCUGGUUAAAAAAGAAAAUAUACAUAUGCACAUAUGUAUAUUCCCCUACCCCAGGGGUUGAGACUUUUUUUGGCAUAAAUUUACAUAUAUUUUGGCACAAAUUUGCAUAGAGGUACACGAGAACCUCUCAUUUACAGCACUAAAAUUUGUAUUGUUCCCCUUAGACCCUUGUCACUGGCUGUUACUAAUGUACUGAGUUUCACCAGUUUGUCCUCCAUUUCCUAGAAUUUGUUCUAAUUUUUAGGAAAUGCUUACUAAAUAUCACCAUUGUGUGUGGUGAAAUCCAGCCCUAGAGGACAUCAAAAGGUCUCUUGUUAGCUGGUAGCUAUUGUUAGGUAUUAUCUGUAGAGACAUCGGGUUUCCUGGAAACAUCCCAUAGAGCUGUCCAAAAGUAUUAAUUAUUAAAUUGGGCCUUUAACUGUAUUUAUAGAAAUUAUAAUAUUACGUUUAUAUGUAUAGAAAAGAGAUUAUAUCUAAGCCUUAUAUCUGUAUAAAAAAAGGAUUUUACCAAAAGUACUGGAAGGUGCAUUAUAGUUACUCUCAAAUGUAAUAUUAGGGAUUUAUAUUUACAUAUAUUUGAGACAGGGUCUCACUCUGCCCAGGCUGGAGUGCAGUGGUGUGAUCUCUCGCCUCACUGCAGCCUCCACCUCCUGGGCUCAGGUGAUCCUCCCACCUCAGCCUCCCAAGUAGCUGGGAUUACAGGCACACUCCACCAUGCCUGGCUAAUUUUUUAUAUUUUUUGUAGAGACAGGGUUUUGCCAUGUUGCCCAGGCUGAUCUCAAACACGUCGGCUCAAGUGAUCCUUCCACCUAGGCCUCUCAAAGUGCUAGGAGUACAAGCAUGAGCCACCAUGCCCAGCCAAUAUUAGAUAUUAAUCAUUGUUCAAGAACAAUGUUAUCAAACCUACCUGUGAGCUGGGGCAAGUUGUGUCACUCCCCUGGAGCCUCAGUUUCUUCCUCUGGAAACUGAGGGAAACUACACCAAAUCUGAGUGUUUCCCUAAUCUCAGGCAGCUGACGUCCCCUUUAGAAUUUUUGCCAUCUUCUCAUGUCAUUUAUACUAUUUCUUCAUAUUUUUCUGGAAUUUAAUAACUUUUCAACUUAAACUGGCAUGAUCUACCUUAGCCUAGUCCCAAGCAAAAAUCUCUGUGAAACUACGUGUUCGCUGUACUCUUUUUUCUUGCAUAUUAAAAUAAAUGCAUGACUCUUAAAAUGUUUUUAAGGUGCUCGUUUGUAUUCACUUGAAAUUUUCUCAGGUCCUGCUGCACUUUGAGAAUGUGAUACAAAAAGCUUCAGUGGUGUGCACGAGGAGCUUGGUAUAAGGCCCAGCCCUAGCAGUCAUAAAUGGUAGCUGAGGCAGAAACAGCUAGGUUCCUACCUCAACAUUCUCCUUUCAAUACAGUAACGUGCUGACUUUCAGUUGGGCACACAACCGAAACCAUUUCCCAGGAUUCUUCGCAGCUAGAUAGAACCAUGUAACUUUAUAAUAUAAAUGUAAACAUAAUAUUUUGGACUAUGCUUGGACUAAACAAAACAUUUAGUAAAGCUGGGCAUGGUGGGGUGUGCCUGUAGUCCCAGAUACUCUGGAGGUUGACAGGGCAGGAGGAUCGCUUGAACCCAGGAGUUUGAGGCUGCAGUGAGCUAUGAUCUAUGAUCACGCCACUGCUCUCCAGCCUAAACAACGUAGUGGGACCUUGUCUCUAAAAAAAGAAAAUACAUUUAAAAAUAUAUUUGGUGAGGUUUCUGAGUAUCCCCCUUACGAAAGAGAAGGCAUGUACUUCUGCAACUUCCUCCAUUCUGCUUACUCAAACUUGAAUGGGAGGGCAGCUAUUUCAAACCAUAAAGAUGAGGGCUGUCCCCUAGGGAUGGUAGAACUAAGAGCCAGAAAAGACUAAGUUCUCGAUAAUCAUUUGGAACUGCAAUAGUGGUCCUGGACUACCUAUCUCUAGACUUCUUUUACAUAGGGAGAAAUAUACUUCUCUGUGAAGCCACAACCUUUUAGGAUUUUCUGUCACUUGCAGGUGAAUAUAAAUCUGUUGGAUACAAUAUUGUGUGCAUGGUAGGUGGGCCGUCAGUGGUGAGCCGGGGCUGCCAUUCAGGUAAGAACUGACUGUUAAAUUUUCAUGAAUUUUGCAUGCUGGUGAAUGUCACGUUGGUAGCCUGAAAUUGGCCAUGGUGGGAGUAUUUACACCACAGGAAUUGGCAAAUGCUACAUACACAUCAGGGCUUUAUUUCCUCCAAGAGAUCUGGUUAUUGACUACUUACCAUCUACCACCACAUCACUGUGGGAUUAAGGAUUUUAUCCACUAAAGUUUGUUCAUAUAGAGAGGUGAUCUGACCUCUUCAUUUACCCUCAAUUUGUUCAAAUUCUAAGUCAUGGACUAUAUCGGACCUAGACUUCCAUAUUGUCUAAUUCUGAUCUUGAAUGGAGGAAGCUUGAAUGUUGCUUAUAGGUCUGCUGUGGUCAGUGCUCAAGAGGUCAAUAGUAAAAGAGCCUGCUCAUCCCUCGCUGUGGGGAUAAUGAUUAGAAGGGAUGGGAAAUUAGCAUUCUGACUUUGCCAUCGGGUGUGAGAAGCACUGAAGCUCACAUACAAAUAAUUAACUUGCCAACCAGUUUUUCUUUUUCCUUUUAAAAGGUGGAAGCAGAUAAGUUGGGAAUAGAUACGCCCACAUUCAGAAUUUACUGCUACAGCACAAUUAAUUAUAUUUAAACAACAUAUGCUGCAUAUUGAUUAAGCACAAAUGUAAACCCUUCAUAUAAAUUAAGCUAAUGAAUUUAACUUUUCCAUAGUCAGAUCUUAUCUUUAGUGAUUCUUUUUCAUAUAUUUCUAUAGGUAUAAAGUUGUCAGGUAUAAUCACUGUCAAAUGGUUAACCAUUUGCUUUGAUAUCCUUUCUGUUCAGUUAGUGUUCAUGCGUGGUUUCACCUCAACCCAGGGAGACAGUCUCACACUUUAGGGGAUGGAUUAGUGUACCUUCAUGGGACAGCAGAGGCUUUUGCAUAGACGAGUUCUGUUGAAACUCUGGUUUCUCUAUGCUUACAGCUGCCUAACCUUACAGUAACUUAUUUAACUACUGUAUCAGUUAUCCAUUGCUGCAUAACAAAUGAUCUCAAAACUUAGUGACUUCAAACAACAAUUUAUUAUUUCUCAUGAUUCUGGGGCUUGACUGACUGAUUUUUCUGCUGGUCUUGCCUGGGCUCACCCAGGUCCCUGCAUUCAGCUAGUGUCUGGGAUGGAACUGUUAACCACAGAGUCUUGGUUUCUUCCCACGUGCCUUUUCUUUUCUUUUCUCUUUUUUUAGAGGGAGUCUCGUUCUGUCGCCC
rnacentral:lncRNA from 10 species